UACGAAGGGGGCUAGCGUUGCUCGGAAUCACUGGGCGUAAAGCGCACGUAGGCGGCUUUUUAAGUCAGGGGUGAAAUCCUGGAGCUCAACUCCAGAACUGCCUUUGAUACUGAGAAGCUUGAGUCCGGGAGAGGUGAGUGGAACUGCGAGUGUAGAGGUGAAAUUCGUAGAUAUUCGCAAGAACACCAGUGGCGAAGGCGGCUCUCUGGGACGGUACUGACGCUGAGACGCGAAAGCGUGGGGAGCGAACAGG
rnacentral:rRNA from 1 species